UAACAGUGAGAAAUCGCUGCUAAUACCGGAUAAUGUCUUCGGACCAAAGAUUUAUCGCCUUUAGAUGGGCCCGCGUUGGAUUAGCUAGUUGGUGGGGUAAAGGCCUACCAAGGCGACGAUCCAUAGCUGGUCUGAGAGGAUGAUCAGCCACACUGGGACUGAGACACGGCCCAGACUCCUACGGGAGGCAGCAGUGGGGAAUAUUGGACAAUGGGCGAAAGCCUGAUCCAGCAAUGCCGCGUGAGUGAUGAAGGCCUUAGGGUUGUAAAAUC
rnacentral:rRNA from 1 species